ACUAAACAUAAACAUAAACUAAGCUAUUACAUGCAUACAUCACUUAGCCUUGACUUUACCCUGAAAACUUCUGAACUCAACUUCAGACCUGCAAAACUGAGGUUAGGGGAAAGGGGUGAGCUAAAAAGCCCAGUGAGUAGAAACAGAGAAAACAGUUCAUUAAUUAUGAUUUCAUUUUACUAAAAACAUUUGCUUUAAUUCCUCCAUUUUUAGGUAUAUUAUUAUUCAUUUAACUUCUUCUUUCUUUUUCUUAUUCAUGCUUUUCAUGAAAUGCGUCAUAACACAGAGAAAUCACAUAAUCUUGUCCGUCUCGGGGCUUAUGCAAGAUUUAUUCCCCACGGACCCUGGUUUCUGAGAGUCUGACUUUUUGCAUGCAUCUUUCCUCUCAGAGGAUGGACAUGACAUCAAAAAUCCCUCUGUCGGUGCCCGGCUCCCCCAUAGGAGCUCACAAAGGCCUGUAACAUACAUGACAUGGUGUCUGGUCCACUGAGAGCUCACAUGGACUUUCCUACAGGUACUUGUCCGGCUCUCAAAGGACUAAGACAAGACUCGUGACAGAUAUGGGCUAUUGAAGUCGCCUCGGUCCACCCUACCUCAACAUCAACAUGAAAUAAUGCAAUGCAACAUAUUCGUGAACUAGUGCAAUCAACCUACUAUACAUAAUCAUGAUGCAUGCUCAUGCUUUAGGCAUUAGAUUUUAUGCAUAAAAGAUUAAGUUUAGUUCUACUCACCUCCUGGCAGACGCUGACUGACUCUGCAACUGCUAGCACUACUGGCCUCCUCGGUCCCUCGGGUCCGAUCCUACACAGGUGGACUCGAAUGAGGUGCCAAACACAUUCUAACAACUCAUAAACAUACCCCCAAAAACCCCUAUAAACAUCACCAAAACACGCAUAGAAAACACCCAAGAAACGGCUGGACAGGGCACUUUCGGCGGCACCUUCGGCGGCCGAAAGUCCCUUUCCAGAGACGAAACUCGGGCAGGUUUGGCGGCACCUUCGGCGGCCGAAACUCUCAGACAGAACCGAAACUCCACUUUCGGGGGCAGGCUUCGGCAGCCGAAACUGCCUCCAAAAGAGGGUUCGGCGGCCGAAACCCCUUUCGGCGGCCGAACCUGGUUUCUGCCAAAGGGCAGAAACUCGGCUCCAACAUGCAUUUUCGCCACCCAAACCAAACCAUCAUGCACAAACCUAUUCUACAACAUGCAUAAAAGCUUCUAGGGGCUCUAGACUAUCCUAAACCCCAACCACAUUGCAUCAUUUGAGCACACAUUAACAUACUUUGGGCAUAAAACCCACCUAAACCUCAAUAUGCUCAUCUACCCCAAAAACUUGCAUAAAACUUUCAUAAAACAUAAAAGAAGUGUAGAUCGGAGCUUACCUCUUGAAGAUCGAGAGGAAGAACGAUCCUAGCUUGGAGAAUGGAGAGAUCGAGCUCCAAGCACCUCCAAGUUCCAAAACUUGCUCCUUAACUCAAAAUCUUCAAAACUAAGUUGAAAUCUCGUUAAACCUUACAAGAUUUGAGGAAAAAUCAUUAAAAAUGGACCAAGGGAGAGUAGGGACUCACCGUGGCAGAAAAUGGGGAGAAAACUCACCCGUUUCUGCCAUGGCGUCCAUUUAUAGGGCUGGCCAAAAACACCUUCGGAGGCCGAACGUGCCUCCAAAACUCAUGCAAGUUCGGCGGCCGAAUAUGGAGAUUCGGCGGCCGAACCUGGGCCAACUUUCGGAAGCCAAACUAGCCUCCCAACCUAUCCAACGUUCGGCGGCCGAACUUGGAGAUUCGGCGGCCGAACUUGGAAAUACCUCCUUGGUCCUUUUCUCUUCAAAAUUCAAUUUUCUUUCAAUUAAAACCAUUAAAAUCACUUAAAAACAUUUAGAAAAAUACAUUUUACCCUUCUAGAGAGAUCCAACACCCUAGAUUCCGCCGAAGGGCAGGAAUUCCGAUGCCGGAUUCUAGCCGGGUAUUACAG
rnacentral:lncRNA from 1 species